GAUGAACGCUGGCGGCGUGCCUAAUACAUGCAAGUCGAGCGAACGGACGAGAAGCUUGCUUCUCUGAUGUUAGCGGCGGAAGGGUGAGUAACACGUGGAUAACCUACCUAUAAGACUGGGAUAACUUCGGGAAACCGGAGCUAAUACCGGGUAAUAUUUUGAACCGCAUGGUUCAAAAGUGAAAGACGGUCUUGCUGUCACUUAUAGAUGGAUCCGCGCUGCAUUAGCUAGUUGGUAAGGUAACGGCUUACCAAGGCAACGAUGCAUAGCCGACCUGAGAGGGUGAUCGGCCACACUGGAACUGAGACACGGUCCAGACUCCUACGGGAGGCAGCAGUAGGGAAUCUUCCGCAAUGGGCGAAAGCCUGACGGAGCAACGCCGCGUGAGUGAUGAAGGUCUUCGGAUCGUAAAACUCUGUUAUUAGGGAAGAACAUAUGUGUAAGUAACUGUGCACAUCUUGACGGUACCUAAUCAGAAAGCCACGGCUAACUACGUG
rnacentral:rRNA from 1 species